rnacentral:rRNA from 1 species
UACGUAGGGGGCGAGCGUUGUCCGGAUUUAUUGGGCGUAAAGAGCGUGUAGGCGGCUUUACAGGUCCGUUGUGAAAACUCGAGGCUCAACCUCGAGACGCCGGUGGAAACCGUAAGGCUAGAGUCCGGAAGAGGAGAGUGGAAUUCCUGGUGUAGCGGUGAAAUGCGUAGAUAUCAAGUGGAACACCAGUGGCGAAGGCGGCUCACUGGCCCGGUACUGACGCUGAGGUGCGAAAGCGUGGGGAGCAAACAGG